GACGAACGCUGGCGGCGUGCCUAAUACAUGCAAGUAGAACGCUGAAGGAGGAGCUUGCUUCUCCGGAUGAGUUGCGAACGGGUGAGUAACGCGUAGGUAACCUGCCUGGUAGCGGGGGAUAACUAUUGGAAACGAUAGCUAAUACCGCAUAACAGUAGAUGUUGCAUGACAUUUGCUUAAAAGGUGCAAUUGCAUCACUACCAGAUGGACCUGCGUUGUAUUAGCUAGUUGGUGAGGUAACGGCUCACCAAGGCGACGAUACAUAGCCGACCUGAGAGGGUGAUCGGCCACACUGGGACUGAGACACGGCCCAGACUGCUACGGGAGGCAGCAGUAGGGAAUCGUCGGCAAUGGACGGAAGUCUGACCGAGCAACGCCGCGUGAGUGAAGAAGGUUGUCGGAUCGUAAAGCUCUGUUGUAAGAGAAGAACGAGUGUGAGAGUGGAAAGUUCACACUGUGACGGUAUCUUACCAGAAAGGGACGGCUAACUACGUG
rnacentral:rRNA from 1 species